GAUUAACGCUGGCGGCGUGCCUAACACAUGCAAGUCGAACGAUGAAACUUAAAUGAUUUCUUCGGAAUGAACUCAAGUGGAUUAGGGGCGGCCGGGUGAGUAACGCGUGAGUAACCUGCCUUACACACGGGGAUAGCCGUUGGAAACGACGAAUAAUAUUCAAUGAAACUAUCACUUCGCAUGAAGCGAUAGUCACAGGGUUAGCGGUGUAAGCUGGACUUGCGUCUGAUUAGCUAGAUGGUGAGACAAAAGCCCACGAAGGCAACGAUCAGUAGCCGGCAUGAGAGAGUGUACGGACACACUGAGACUGAGCAACGGCCCAGAAUCCUACGGAAGGCAGCAGUGGGGAAUUUUGCACAAUGGGGGAAGCCAUGAUGCAGCGACGCCGCGAGAUUUAGAAGACCUUCGGGUUGUAAAUGUCUAUUGUAUAGGGAGAAUCUGAACGUACUCUACGAAUAAGGUCCGGCUAAAUACGUG
rnacentral:rRNA from 1 species